rnacentral:rRNA from 1 species
GAAUUUUUGACAAUGGGCGAAAGCCUGAUCGAGCAACGCCGCGUGCAGGAUGAAGGCCUUCGGGUUGUAAACUUCUUUUGUACGGGACGAAAAGUUGUGGGUUAAUACCCUGGAGUCACGACGGUCCUGGCCGCAUACGCACCGGCUAACUACUUGCCAGCAGCCGCGGUAAUACCUAGGGUGCAAGCGUUAAUCGGACUUACUUGGCGUAAAGCGAGGGCAGGCGGUUUUGUAAGACAGUGUUGAAAUCCCCGGGCUCAACCUGGGAACUGCCUUUGGGACUGCAAGGCUAGAGUGCGGGAGAGGGGGGUGGGAUUCCGCGUGUAGGAGUGAAAUGCGUAGAUAUGCGGAGGAACACCGAUGGCGAAGGCAACCCCCUGGGCCUGUACUGACGGUCAUGCACGAAAGCGUGGGGAGCAAACA